UACGGAGGGAGCUAGCGUUGUUCGGAAUUACUGGGCGUAAAGCGCACGUAGGCGGCUUUUUAAGUCAGGGGUGAAAUCCCGGGGCCUCAACCCCGGAACUGCCCUUGAAACUGGAGAGCUAGAAUCUUGGAGAGGCGAGUGGAAUUCCGAGUGUAGAGGUGAAAUUCGUAGAUAUUCGGAAGAACACCAGUGGCGAAGGCGACUCGCUGGACAAGUAUUGACGCUGAGGUGCGAAAGCGUGGGGAGCAAACAGGG
rnacentral:rRNA from 1 species